AGGCCUCAGUGCCUCGCGGAAAGCAGGCGGGCGGGCGGAAAACGCGGAGCAACCUCUUCCCCCUCUCCCCGCUCCAUCUCCUUCCCUUCCCAGGCCGCAGCUGUCCUUUGUGGGGCGUCCAGGGUUCGCCCACAUCCACCUCCGCGCUGGGCACCUGGUGGUGCUUACAUCGCGUUUGGUGAAACGCAUCCUCCAGCCAUGCUAUGCUUGCAAAGAUGUCUCUGGUCAUUGGGAAGGACGGCAGCUUGGGAAGGAGGAUGUCCGUGAAUGUCAUCAGUGAGCCGGCGCCUGUCCCCCUCUACCCUGGAGCUGAAGGCAGCUUCUACACAAACCCUCCUGGGGCCUGCUCCGUGACUCAGUUUCCCUGUCAUGUGCUGCUGCUGCUUUUUUUUCUCUUUCAUUAGGGCUUCCCCUCCACCCUCCCUGCAGGGUCACUGGGCUGGUGCCCUGGGCAGGGAGGAACACCAGCAUGUGGCCUCAGACCUCAGAGUCCUUUCUGCUCGCUCAUUGACCUGUUUGCAACUCUGGACUCACAGCCGACGUUGCAAACUGAGGUUCCUGGAGUAAUUCUAACCCUUUGGGAAUCGCCCCACCCCCAGACUGUGAGCACACCAAGGGCAUGAUCCAUCUGUCCAGGCCACCCUUGUGUGCCACUGGAUGCAUGAAGGAAUGUUGACAUCAGCCUAAGGUCCUGCGUCAGCUCCCAGUAGCCUGAUGUCAGGACCUCAAAUGCAGGCUGAGAAGAGAACAUAGGAGAUGGGCCUUUUAUAAGGCCAACCAGAAGGUCAGAAGACUUGGGCUCCAGCCGGAUGCGGCGACUCACACCUGUAAUCCCAGUACUUUGGGAGGUCGAGGUGAGAGGAUCACUCGAGGCCUGGAGUUUGAGACCAGCCUAGGCAACACAGUGAGACCCCAUCUCUAAAAAAAUUAAAAAAUUAGCUGAGUGUGAUGGUGCAUGCCUGCAGUACCCGCUAUUCAGGAGGGUGAGGUGGGAGGAUUGCUUGAGCCCAGGAGGUCAAGGCUGCAAUGAGCUAUGAUCACACUCCAGACUGGGCAACAGAGAGAGACCUUGUCUCA
rnacentral:lncRNA from 1 species